rnacentral:rRNA from 1 species
AUUCGAGUGGCGGACGGGUGAGUAACGCGUGAGCAAUCUGUCCCACAGAGGGGGAUAACAACUGGAAACAGUUGCUAAUACCGCAUAAGACCACACUGUCGCAUGACAGAGAGGUCAAAGGAGCAAUCCGCUGUGGGGUGAGCUCGCGUCCGAUUAGUUCGUUGGUGAGGUAACGGCCCACCAAGACAGCGAUCGGUAGCCGACCUGAGAGGGUGAUCGGCCACAUUGGGACUGAGACACGGCCCAGACUCCUACGGGAGGCAGCAGUGGGGAAUAUUGGGCAAUGGGCGAAAGCCUGACCCAGCAACGCCGCGUGAGGGAAGAAGGUUUUCGGAUUGUAAACCUCUGUCCUAAGGGACGAAGGAAGUGACGGUACCUUAGGAGGAAGCCCCGGCUAACUACGUGCCAGCAGCCGCGGUAAUACGUAGGGGGCGAGCGUUGUCCGGAAUGACUGGGCGUAAAGGGCGUGUAGGCGGCAGUAUAAGUCCGGAGUGAAAGUCCUGCUUUCAAGGUGGGAAUUGCUUUGGAGACUGUACAGCUUGAGUGCGGAAGAGGUAAGUGGAAUUCCCAGUGUAGCGGUGAAAUGCGUAGAGAUUGGGAGAGAACACCAGUGGCGAAGGCGACUUACUGGGCCGUAACUGACGCUGAGGCUCGAAAGCAUGGGUAGCAAACAAAAUUAGAUACCCUGGUAGUCCAUGCCGUAAACGAUGAUUACUGGGUGUUGGAGGAUUGCCCCCUUCAGUGCCGCAGUUAACACAAUAAGUAAUCCACCUGGGGAGUACGACCGCAAGGUUGAAACUCAAAGGAAUUGACGGGGGCCCGCACAAGCAGUGGAGUAUGUGGUUUAAUUCGAAGCAACGCGAAGAACCUUACCAGGUCUUGACAUCCGAUGCAUAGUGCAGAGAUGCAUGAAGUCCUUCGGGACAUCGAGACAGGUGGUGCAUGGUUGUCGUCAGCUCGUGUCGUGAGAUGUUGGGUUAAGUCCCGCAACGAGCGCAACCCCUAUUGUUAGUUGCUACGCAAGAGCACUCUAGCGAGACUGCCGUUGACAAAACGGAGGAAGGCGGGGACGACGUCAAAUCAUCAUGCCCCUUAUGUCCCGGGCUACACACGUAAUACAAUGGCGGUCAACAGAGGGAAGCAAAACCGCGAGGCAGAGCAAACCCCUAAAAGCCGUCUCAGUUCGGAUUGCAGGCUGCAACCCGCCUGCAUGAAGAUGGAAUUGCUAGUAAUCGAAGAUCAGAAUGCCGCGGUGAAUACGUUCCCGGGC